rnacentral:rRNA from 1 species
UACGGAGGGAGCUAGCGUUGUUCGGAAUUACUGGGCGUAAAGCGCGCGUAGGCGGCUUUGUAAGUUAGAGGUGAAAGCCCGGGGCUCAACCCCGGAAUUGCCUUUAAGACUGCAUCGCUUGAAUCCGGGAGAGGUGAGUGGAAUUCCGAGUGUAGAGGUGAAAUUCGUAGAUAUUCGGAAGAACACCAGUGGCGAAGGCGGCUCA